UGACUCUUCCAGGUUACAAAGUCAGCUCCAGGAUCAAAUAACUUUGGGCCAGAUCGUGAAGGAGUUGAACGCCAGGCUAAAGCGCUCAGAGGUUCUCCUGCGAGUAGUAGAGAACCACAAAAGGAUGAGGAGCAGCUGAGUGAGGCACCCGUGUUGUAUUUUAGUAAAAUCUCUCUGCAUUGGAGCCUGCUUGGACCAGGACAUUGCUCCUGGACAAGGUUAUAGCUAACUCAUUCUCUGCUGAGCCUGUUAUACCUCCCAGACAGGGGUAUAUGUCAGAGCCAUUCUUCCAGAUCAGAUGACCUGUUAAACUGAGACUUCUGCACCAUCUGAACCAUCAGUCACUCUCUGGCCCAGAGAGGUGGUGUUAUUUGCCAAGGACACACAGCAGGUGGCCAAGAUGGAGCCAAGCCAUUUUCCCCACUGCAGGGACCCCUGAUCUCCAUUCCCCUGGACAUCUCAAGGGCACAAAUUCUCUGGACACACGGAGGGAAUAAUGCUGACAUUUUAUAGAAGCUGACCCACUGGAUAUCCUUCUCACCCAACUCCAUUAGGCUGGGGAGAGUAAGAGGCACGGUGACAAGGUGGCAAAGAUGUCACCAUGCCAUCCAAUCACGAGGUCUCCAGGAAACUGU
ensembl:lncRNA MYO18B-AS1 MYO18B antisense RNA 1